CUGCUCGCCCGCGCGCCCCUCUUCCGUCUCUGCCUCGUGGGCCCGUUUUGUCAGCGCGAUGAACCGUUUCCUCCACGCGCCCGUUUUCCCUCGCUACGCCGUGGGACCGCCGUGUCAGUUCCGCCUUCCCCGCGAACCGCCGUGGAGCAGGUCGCACGGCCGCUGAGAUCCCCGGCCACGUUGCCUGCCCACACACCCCAGCUACCUUUUGAGCACCGCCCGCACCCGCGCUCGCCCCCCUGCCUCAUUUCGCGCAAGCUCACCCUCUCUCGCGCUCUGCUCUCGCCGCUCGCACUCGCCGAAGUUUCGUGGCCACGCCGCCGACCAUCAAGGCCGCCACAAGUCGCGCCAAGCUGCCCUGAGCAUCAUCUCGAGUAUGAUUUCUUGGCUCGGCACCACCGUCAGAUGAUUGCCCGAGCAGAAGAUGAAGAGAAGCUCAACCCCCUGAAGCAAGCCAAGGAUGAGCAUGUCCAGAAGUUGAUGGAGGCCUACUUGGUAACCCAUAACCAACGUAGAGCCCUGCGGAUCCAAGAGCCCGCUUCAUCCAACCUUGUCCAACCCAGGAGAGUAGAAGACCCCCAGAUUCUUGAAGGUCACCCGGUCUCUAUCAGAGGAGAAAAGAAGUCUUGGGAACUCCCGGAAGGAGCCAUAGUCUUGGAAGGAAUUCCAGUCUUCCCUCAGGCUAUGGAUAAGCAAGAGCACCCCGAGUCCUCCCAAGAUCCCCCGCUAGAGUUGUUUGAGCCCCUCGCCAUGAAGAAGAUUCCAGCACCCUCCCUUGAGGUCAAAGAAGAAGCUGCAAGCACCCCGCCACUACUGCCGCCCUCAGAGGAGCUACAAGAGCCAGUCCCGCUUGAAGAAGAGUUCGACCCUGUUCUGCCAUCUCAGUCGCCGCCAGAAGAAGUCAUCAACAUCAGCUCCUUGUUGACCCAUCCAGGAGAUAUCUCAGAUUGA
rnacentral:misc_RNA from 1 species